CGCCGAUUCUAUUGCCUCCCUUGGUGAUGAUCCUUUGGCCGCCUCUAAUGGUCAGGUUAUUGUUGGUGUGGAGAGCCGUUACCGAGUUGUUUAUCGCCUAGUCAAUGGCAUCUAUGUCCUUGGGAUUACCACUGCUGAUCAAGAUAAUUCUGUUAAUGUCUUUGAGUGUAUCCAUAUUGUAAACCAAGCCGUCAGCGUCAUUGUUACGGCCUGUCGUGGUGUUGAUGUCACCCCCGAGAAGCUUAGCCGGAAAUACGCUGAGAUUUACAUGGCGUUGGAUAUUG
rnacentral:misc_RNA from 1 species